rnacentral:rRNA from 1 species
GGACCCGCACAAGCGGUGGAGUAUGUGGUUUAAUUCGACGCAACGCGAAAACCUUACCUGGGCUAGAACUGCUAAUGGUAAAACCGGAAACGGCAAUGACCCGCAAGGGAGUUAGCAGAGGUGCUGCAUGGCUGUCGUCAGCUCGUGUCGUGAGAUGUUGGGUUAAGUCCCGCAACGAGCGCAACCCUUAUCCCAUGUUACAUAUAGUAAUAUAUGGUCUCUGAGGAAACUGCCAUCGAUAAGAUGGAGGAAGGUGAGGACGACGUCAAGUCAUCAUGGCCUUUAUGUCCAGGGCUACACACGUACUACAAUGACUGGUACAGAGGGAAGCGAUAUCGCGAGAUGAAGCAAAUCUCUAAAAGCCAGUCCCAGUUCAGAUUAUAGGCUGGCAAUUCGCCUAUAUGAAGUCGGAAUCGCUAGUAAUCGCAGAUCAGCAGGUUG